UACGGGGGGGGCAAGCGUUGUUCGGAAUUACUGGGCGUAAAGGGUCUGUAGGUGGCCAACUAAGUCAGACGUGAAAUCCCUCAGCUUAACUGGGGAACUGCGUCUGAUACUGGUUGGCUUGAGUGCAGGAGAGGAAUGCGGAAUUCCUGGUGUAGCGGUGAAAUGCGCAGAUAUCAGGAGGAACACCAAUUGCGAAGGCAGCUCGCUGGGACGUAACUGACGCUGAGACGCGAAAGCGUGGGGAGCAAACAGG
rnacentral:rRNA from 1 species